UACGUAGGGUGCGAGCGUUAAUCGGAAUUACUGGGCGUAAAGGGUGCGCAGGCGGUUCUGCAAGUCCGGCGUGAAAUCCCCGGGCUUAACCUGGGAAUGGCGCUUGAAACUACGGGACUGGAGUAUGGCAGAGGGAGGUGGAAUUCCACGUGUAGCGGUGAAAUGCGUAGAGAUGUGGAGGAACACCGAUGGCGAAGGCAGCCUCCUGGGCCAAUACUGGCGCUCAUGCACGAAAGCGUGGGGAGCAAACAGG
rnacentral:rRNA from 1 species